UACAGAGGUCUCAAGCGUUGUUCGGAUUCAUUGGGCGUAAAGGGUGCGUAGGCGGCGCGGUAAGUCGGGUGUGAAAUCUCGGAGCUUAACUCCGAAACUGCAUUCGAUACUGCCGUGCUUGAGGACUGGAGAGGAGACUGGAAUUUACGGUGUAGCGGUGAAAUGCGUAGAUAUCGUAAGGAAGACCAGUGGCGGAAGGCGGGUCGUCUGGGACCGAUACUGACGCUGAGGAGACGAAGCGUGGGGAGCGAACAGG
rnacentral:rRNA from 1 species